rnacentral:rRNA from 1 species
GAUCCUGGCUCAGGAUGAACGCUAGCUACAGGCUUAACACAUGCAAGUCGAGGGGCAGCAUGGUCUUAGCUUGCUAAGGCUGAUGGCGACCGGCGCACGGGUGAGUAACACGUAUCCAACCUGCCGUCUACUCUUGGCAAGAUUAAUCCAGGAUGGGAUCAUGAGUUCACAUGUCCGCAUGAUUAAAGGUAUUUUCCGGUAGACGAUGGGGAUGCGUUCCAUUAG